rnacentral:rRNA from 1 species
AUUGAACGCUGGCGGCAUGCCUUACACAUGCAAGUCGAACGGCAGCACGGGAGCAAUCCUGGUGGCGAGUGGCGAACGGGUGAGUAAUGUAUCGGAACGUGCCCAGUCGUGGGGGAUAACGCAGCGAAAGCUGUGCUAAUACCGCAUACGAUCUAUGGAUGAAAGCGGGGGAUCGCAAGACCUCGCGCGAUUGGAGCGGCCGAUAUCAGAUUAGGUAGUUGGUGGGGUAAAGGCCCACCAAGCCUGCGAUCUGUAGCUGGUCUGAGAGGACGACCAGUCACACUGGAACUGAGAAACGGUCCAGACUCCUACGGGAGGCAGCAGUGGGGAAUUUUGGACAAUGGGCGCAAGCCUGAUCCAGCAAUGCCGCGUGCAGGAUGAAGGCCUUCGGGUUGUAAACUGCUUUUGUACGGAGCGAAACGGCUCUCACUAAUACUGGGGGCUAAUGACGGUACCGUAAGAAUAAGCACCGGCUAACUACGUGCCAGCCGCCGCAGUAA